UACAGAGGGUGCGAGCGUUGUCCGGAAUUACUGGGCGUAAAGGGCUCGUAGGCGGCCAACUAAGUCGGAUGUGAAAUCCCCAAGCUUAACUUGGGAACUGCAUCCGAUACUGGAUGGCUUGAAUCCGGGAGAGGGAUGCAGAAUUCCAGGUGUAGCGGUGAAAUGCGUAGAUAUCUGGAGGAAUACCGGUGGCGAAGGCGGCAUCCUGGACCGGCAUUGACGCUGAGGGGCGAAAGCUAGGGGAGCAAACGGG
rnacentral:rRNA from 1 species